UGUGUUUGAACGCGAGGGAGGUUUUCUCUUCGUUUGAUUGCAGAUACGUUUCUUUUAUUCCCUCUGUUUUUCCUUCCAACGGCUCUCAAUGGCGUUUACCAUAAGGUGUUCUUCGCAUCUAAGCAAUAGUACAAGGUUUCAUAUGCGAAUUUCCACAAUAUUACGUACCUAGUUUAGUUUUUAUGUAUUGGCUGGCCGCAGCCAAUACGAGCAGGUCUAAAGUAAGCCAAUUCAAGACCAGCUCAACGAUAUCCUAUUUCCCCUGGCUUGUAAAUGGGCUGGAUCGGCCUUCGACUC
rnacentral:lncRNA from 1 species